rnacentral:rRNA from 1 species
GACGAACGCUGGCGGCGCGCUUAACACAUGCAAGUCGAACGGUGAACCGGGCUUCGGCCCGGGGAUCAGUGGCGAACGGGUGCGUAACACGUGGGCAACCUGCCCCUCACUCUGGGAUAACCCCGGGAAACCGGAGCUAAUACCGGAUACUCCGACCGGUCCGCAUGGUCCGAUCGGGAAAGGUCCGCCGGUGAGGGAUGGGCCCGCGGCCUAUCAACUUGUUGGUGAGGUAACGGCUCACCAAGGCGACGACGGGUAGCUGGUCUGAGAGGACGACCAGCCACACUGGGACUGAGAUACGGCCCAGACUCCUACGGGAGGCAGCAGUGGGGAAUCUUGCGCAAUGGGCGAAAGCCUGACGCAGCGACGCCGCGUGGGGGACGAAGGCCCUCGGGUUGUAAACCCCUUUCGGCAGGGACGAAGCGAUCGUGACGGUACCUGCAGAAGAAGCCUCGGCUAACUACGUGCCAGCCGCCGCCGUAA